rnacentral:rRNA from 1 species
GAUGAACGCUAGCUACAGGCUUAACACAUGCAAGUCGAGGGACCGGCGCCCGGGUGAGUAACACGUAUCCAACCUGCCCUUUACUAGGGGAUAGCCUGUCGAAAGAAAGAUUAAUACCCGAUAUAAAGGAUGGGGAUGCGUUCCAGUAGGGUGUUGGUGAAGUGACGGCUAACCAAGCCUUCGAUGGGUAGGGGUUCUGAGAGGAAGGUCCCGCAGAAUGGAACUGUGAAACGGUCCAAACUCCUACGGGAGGCAGCAGUGAGGAAGAUUGGUCAAUGGGCGCUAGCCUGAACCAGCCAAGUAGCGUGAAGGAUGAAGGCUUAUUGGUCGUAAACUUCUUUUAUAUAAGAAUAUGUAUUAUAUGAAUAAGGAUCGGCUAACUCCGUGCCAGCAGCCGCGGUAAUAC